CGCGUAGGCGGUCGGGUAAGUCGGGUGUGAAAUUCCGGGGCUCAACCCCGUGAACUGCACUCGAUACUGCUCGACUUGAGAGAGGUAGGGGCGAGUGGAAUUCCCGGUGUAGCGGUGGAAUGCGUAGAUAUCGGGAAGAACACCGGUGGCGAAGGCGGCUCGCUGGACCUUUUCUGACGCUGAAGCGCGAAAGCGUGGGGAGCAAACA
rnacentral:rRNA from 1 species